AUUGAACGCUGGCGGCAGGCCUAACACAUGCAAGUCGAGCGGAUGACGGGAGCUUGCUCCUUGAUUCAGCGGCGGACGGGUGAGUAAUGCCUAGGAAUCUGCCUGGUAGUGGGGGACAACGUUUCGAAAGGAACGCUAAUACCGCAUACGUCCUACGGGAGAAAGCAGGGGACCUUCGGGCCUUGCGCUAUCAGAUGAGCCUAGGUCGGAUUAGCUAGUUGGUGGGGUAAUGGCUCACCAAGGCGACGAUCCGUAACUGGUCUGAGAGGAUGAUCAGUCACACUGGAACUGAGACACGGUCCAGACUCCUACGGGAGGCGGCAGUGGGGAAUAUUGGACAAUGGGCGAAAGCCUGAUCCAGCCACGCCGCGUGUGUGAAGAAGGUCUUCGGAUUGUAAAGCACUUUAAGUUGGGAGGAAGGGCAGUAAGUUAAUACCUUGCUGUUUUGACGUUACCGACAGAAUAAGCACCGGCUAACUCUGUGCCAGCCGCCGCAGUAAGAC
rnacentral:rRNA from 1 species